rnacentral:rRNA from 1 species
AGAGUUUGAUCAUGGCUCAGAUUGAACGCUGGCGGCAUGCCUUACACAUGCAAGUCGAACGGCAGCACGGGAGCAAUCCUGGUGGCGAGUGGCGAACGGGUGAGUAAUAUAUCGGAACGUGCCCAGUCGUGGGGGAUAACGUAGCGAAAGCUACGCUAAUACCGCAUACGAUCUAUGGAUGAAAGCGGGGGAUCGCAAGACCUCGCGCGAUUGGAGCGGCCGAUAUCAGAUUAGGUAGUUGGUGGGGUAAAAGCUCACCAAGCCUUCGAUCUGUAGCUGGUCUGAGAGGACGACCAGCCACACUGGAACUGAGACACGGUCCAGACUCCUACGGGAGGCAGCAGUGGGGAAUUUUGGACAAUGGGCGCAAGCCUGAUCCAGCAAUGCCGCGUGCAGGAUGAAGGCCUUCGGGUUGUAAACUGCUUUUGUACGGAACGAAACGGCUCUUUUUAAUACAGAGGGCUAAUGACGGUACCGUAAGAAUAAGCACCGGCUAACUACGUGCCAGCAGCCGCGGUAAUACGUAGGGUGCGAGCGUUAAUCGGAAUUACUGGGCGUAAAGCGUGCGCAGGCGGUUAUGUAAGACAGAUGUGAAAUCCCCGGGCUCAACCUGGGACCUGCAUUUGUGACUGCAUAGCUAGAGUACGGUAGAGGGGGAUGGAAUUCCGCGUGUAGCAGUGAAAUGCGUAGAUAUGCGGAGGAACACCGAUGGCGAAGGCAAUCCCCUGGACCUGUACUGACGCUCAUGCACGAAAGCGUGGGGAGCAAACAGGAUUAGAUACCCUGGUAGUCCACGCCCUAAACGAUGUCAACUGGUUGUUGGGUCUUCACUGACUCAGUAACGAAGCUAACGCGUGAAGUGCCCGCCUGGA